UCCGGCCAUAUCACAUUGAAACACCGGUUCUUGUACGAUCACUAAAGUUAAGCAACGUCGAGCUUGGUCAGUACCUAGAUGAGUGACCGCUUGGGAAUUGUAA
rnacentral:rRNA from 1 species